rfam:Myotis davidii contig159646, whole genome shotgun sequence.
GGUGGUUCUUGAGUGAUGCACCCCAGAAUUGGGCUCCCUCCUCUCUAGUUCCGGGUGUGUCACCCAAGAUCCAUA